rnacentral:rRNA from 1 species
UACGUAGGGUGCAAGCGUUAAUCGGAUUACUGGGCGUAAAGCGUGCGCAGGCGGUUCUAUAAGACAGAUGUGAAAUCCCCGGGCUCACCUGGGAACUGCAUUUGUGACUGUAGAGCUGGAGUGCGGCAGAGGGGGAUGGAAUUCCGCGUGUAGCAGUGAAAUGCGUAGAUAUGCGGAGGAACACCGAUGGCGAAGGCAAUCCCCUGGGCCUGCACUGACGCUCAUGCACGAAAGCGUGGGGAGCAAACAGG